rnacentral:rRNA from 1 species
AACGAACGCUGGCGGCAGGCUUAACACAUGCAAGUCGAACGGUUGUAGCAAUACAGCAGUGGCAGACGGGUGAGUAACACGUGGGAACCUUCCUAGGGGUACGGAACAACUCAGGGAAACUUGAGCUAAUACCGUAUACGUCCGUGAGGAGAAAGAUUUAUCGCCCCUAGACGGGCCCGCGUAGGAUUAGGUAGUUGGUGAGGUAACGGCUCACCAAGCCUACGAUCCUUAGCUGAUCUGAGAGGAUGAUCAGCCACACUGGGACUGAGACACGGCCCAGACUCCUACGGGAGGCAGCAGUGGGGAAUCUUGGACAAUGGGCGCAAGCCUGAUCCAGCCAUGCCGCGUGAGUGAAGAAGGCCUGGUUGUAAG